rnacentral:lncRNA from 1 species
GUAUCAACAUCAGGCUUCUCCCCUCCGUCUCGAACCAAACCAUUGUCAACAUCAGGCUUCUCGCCUACGUCUCGAACCAAAUCAUUAUCAACAUCAGGCUUCUCCCCCAUAUCUUGAACCAUAUUACUAUCAACAACCGUUCUCGCUAUCGCCUCUACUUCCCGAUCACGAUUCUCAACUUCACUAAUCCUAAUUUCCUCCUCCGGCACCGAAGAACUCCGAGCCGUGACAACCGAGUCAACCACCGAGUCAAGAUCAUCCUUCUUGUAACCGAUCCGCAAUCCAGCAGCUCGCUUCUUCUUCCUCGUAUUCGAAACUUGUCGAGUAAUCGACUUAGUAAUAAUCGGCGCAGUGGCCACAAUCGGCGAAGGUUCCGCUAGGGUUUGCUGAAUCUGCGGAGUAACCAGAGUGAGAUCGGAGAAUAAAUUCUCAUCGAGAGGCUGAGAAGCCAACUCCGGCGCCGGAGGAUCCGUCGGCUCCGGUUGAUGAUUCUGGUGGUGUUUGGAAUCAUAAGAACUGUUAUCGAUAGGAGUAGAUUGUUGAGUUGAUGAAGGUGGGAGUGAGGGUUGAGAGGGAUCGAAUAGCACCAUUCCUUCGAACAAUGAGUCCAUGUCGUCCGACUCCAUAGUCUUCGAUUCAACUAGUGCUGCUGAUUAGUGAUGUUGUGUAGUGUGUUUGAUACAAGUGUUUUUUAGCGAUUCAAUAUCUUCAAGCCUUUUGUUUUGUUUUUUAAGUCAUCAGGGAGGGAGGACUGAGGAGGAGGGAUAAAUAUCAAAUAGGUGACUCGUUUCGUCCAAAUGUAUCAAUUGAGUUACUGAUUUCCAAAUUGACUCAAAUUAGACACUCAUUAGAAAAAUUUGUAUCAAAAUUAUAACUCUAUCGUUAUUCGAAAUUUUAAAAGUAAUAUAUAUUAAGUUUCGCACAUUUUUUAUGAAUGGUAUUACAUAUAAAUGAAAGAUUCUGAGUUCUAGUAUUUUAGAUAAUAUUUUUAGAUUUUUAAAAAUUUAUCUUCUAUUUAUUUUUAUUUAAAUCAAAUAAAACAAUCAAAAAAUUAAAAAUAAAUAGUUGAUAAAAUUUUAAAAAUCGCUUCUCCCCUCCGUCUCGAACCAAACCAUUGUCAACAUCAGGCUUCUCGCCUACGUCUCGAACCAAAUCAUUAUCAACAUCAGGCUUCUCCCCCAUAUCUUGAACCAUAUUACUAUCAACAACCGUUCUCGCUAUCGCCUCUACUUCCCGAUCACGAUUCUCAACUUCACUAAUCCUAAUUUCCUCCUCCGGCACCGAAGAACUCCGAGCCGUGACAACCGAGUCAACCACCGAGUCAAGAUCAUCCUUCUUGUAACCGAUCCGCAAUCCAGCAGCUCGCUUCUUCUUCCUCGUAUUCGAAACUUGUCGAGUAAUCGACUUAGUAAUAAUCGGCGCAGUGGCCACAAUCGGCGAAGGUUCCGCUAGGGUUUGCUGAAUCUGCGGAGUAACCAGAGUGAGAUCGGAGAAUAAAUUCUCAUCGAGAGGCUGAGAAGCCAACUCCGGCGCCGGAGGAUCCGUCGGCUCCGGUUGAUGAUUCUGGUGGUGUUUGGAAUCAUAAGAACUGUUAUCGAUAGGAGUAGAUUGUUGAGUUGAUGAAG